CCCACUAGGGGGCACUCAGGAAUCUUCCUGCGGGUUUCUGCCCUGGCUUUUAGGAUGUCAACUUGGGUCUUGCCCUUGGAACCUUUGGGUUCUUUAAUACUUCUCUUGACUUGCUAAGUGAGUUUUCAGCCUAUGGGUCUGAGAAGCAUCACAACUAUCAUUUUUAUCCCAUCAAAAUCGUCUUUGGAAAGCCCUUCGUCUUGGAUAUAACACCUCCGCAGCAGAUAGCUGCUGCCAUCCCUCAGGGGAGGCUGAGAUUUCAUCCUUAGAGGGAGUCGCUCGCUAUACUUGUGAAAGACAGUCUCUUCCUGCAUCCGGGCGCAGAGCGACACAGUCCUUCCGGUCCCUGUGAGCCACAGCAGAUGCGUCUUUCACACACCCAUCCCGUCAUCCGGGAAUCUGCUUCAGACUUCUCAGGGUCCUGCCAUCCUUUCUGUCCACCGGUGUGGACCCUGCUGUGGUUGAGCCGACACCAGCUGGGGCUCCUGCUCCACUCCGACCACGGGCAACACAGCUUUAGGGAUCAAGACGCACAAAUUCUCUUCGCCAGCUGGGAAGCCGCCUUCCAACAAAAUAGCAAUGCAAAACUUCCCUGUAGUCACUGCGUUCACUGGAUGGUGUUGGUAGGUGUAGCUCACCUGCCAUCUCUCCUUUCCCUGGGGCUGGAGCAGGGAUGGCCAGG
rnacentral:lncRNA from 1 species